AUAACGUUGCGAAAGCGACGCUAACACCGGAUAAUAUCGAGAGGACUUCGGUUUUUUCGAUCAAAGGUGGCCUCUUCAUGGAAGCUACUGUUUGGAGAUGAGCCCGCGUCCCAUUAGCUUGUUGGUGGGGUAAAAGCCCACCAAGGCCGCGAUGGGUAGCUGGUCUGAGAGGAUGAUCAGCCACACUGGAACUGACACACGGUCCAGACUCCUACGGGAGGCAGCAGUGAGGAAUUUUGCGCAAUGGGGGAAACCCUGACGCAGCAACGCCGCGUGAGUGAUGAAGGCUUUCGGGUCGUAAAGCUCUGUCAAGUGGGAAGAACCACUUUGAGGAUAAUACCCUCGAGGUCUGACGGUACCACUGAAGGAAGCACCGGCUAACUCCGUGCCAGCAGCCGCGGUAAUACGGGGGGUGCAAGCGUUAUUCGGAUUUACUGGGCGUAAAGCGCGCGUAGGCGGCCGUUUAAGUCAGAUGUGAAAGCCCGGGGCUUAACCCCGGAAGUGCAUUUGAUACUAUUCGGCUUGAGUAUGGGAGAGGGAAGUGGAAUUCCUGGUGUAGAGGUGAAAUUCGUAGAUAUCAGGAGGAACACCGGUGGCGAAGGCGACUUCCUGGACCAAUACUGACGCUGAGGCGCGAAGGCGUGGGGAGCAAACAGGAUUAGAUACCCUGGUAGUCCACGCAGUAAACGUUG
rnacentral:rRNA from 1 species